rnacentral:rRNA from 1 species
GACGAACGCUGGCGGCGUGCUUAACACAUGCAAGUCGAACGGAAAGGCCCUGCUUGCAGGGUGCUCGAGUGGCGAACGGGUGAGUAACACGUGGGUGAUCUGCCCCUUACUUUGGGAUAAGCCUGGGCAACUGGGUCUAAUACUGGAUAGGACCAUGCUGUAGGUGGUGUGGUGGAAAGAUUAGUUUCGGUAAGGGAUGAGCUCGCGGCCUAUCAGCUUGUUGGUGGGGUAAUGGCCUACCAAGGCGUCGACGGGUAGCCGGCCUGAGAGGGUGGACGGCCACAUUGGGACUGAGACGCGGCGCAGAAGCCUACGGGAGGCAGCAGUGGGGAAUAUUGCACAAUGGGCGCAAGCCGGAUGCAGCGACGCCGCGUGGGGGGUGACGGCCUUCGGGUUGUAAACACCUUUCAGCCAUGACGAAGCCCUUGUGGUGACGGUAGUGGUAGAAGAAGCACCGGCUAACUACGUG